rnacentral:rRNA from 1 species
ACGCUCGACACCUACGGGAAGGCAGCAGGUGGGGAAUAUUGCACAAUGGGGGAAACCCUGAUGCAGCAACGCCGCGUGAAGGAAGACGGUUUCGGAUUGUAAACUUCUGUUCUUAGUGAAGAUAGUGACGGUAGCUAAGGAGCAAGCCACGGCUAACUACGUGCUAGCAGCCGCGGUAAUCUGAGCGGGCUGGCAAGGC